rnacentral:lncRNA from 1 species
CAACAACCCUUCUUCACUCCACUACUGUGAAGAUGAUCAGACAAGAGAAAGAGUAUCUUGCAGCAUCCACUCUUCUCAGCUCAGAGGAGCUGUGUAGGCGUUCUCUUCUUGGGACCUCCUGGUGUCACUAAAGGAAAAGAAACCAUGGUAAAUAUAACUAGAAUAGUUAAAAGUUCAAUGUGUUACCUACAGUACAGUGCAAGAUAUU